rnacentral:rRNA from 1 species
GACGAACGCUGGCGGCGUGCCUAACACAUGCAAGUCGAGCGGGGUCCAUCCGGUAGCAAUACCGGGGAAGACCUAGCGGCGAACGGUGAGUAACACGUGAGAAACCUGCCCCGAAGUCUGGGAUAACCCGAGGAAACUCGAGCUAAUACCGGAUGUCUUCUUCUGAUCGCAUGGUCGGAUGAAGAAAGAUUUAUCGCUUCGGGAGGGUCUCGCGGCCUAUCAGCUAGUUGGCGGGGUAACGGCCCACCAAGGCGUCGACGGGUAGCUGGUCUGAGAGGACGAUCAGCCACACUGGGACUGAGACACGGCCCAGACUCCUACGGGAGGCAGCAGUGGGGAAUAUUGCGCAAUGGGCGAAAGCCUGACGCAGCAACGCCGCGUGCGGGAUGAAAGGGCCUUCGGUUGUUAACCGGACUUCUAGUGGGACGGAAGUUACUAG